CCUUUGUGUUUUCUUGUUUUUAAAAUAAAAAAAAGUAAACAAGCAAACCAACCUUAUGAUCGAGCUCUACUCUCCAUGACCACAAGAAUCCAAUUCGCUUAUACCAAAUUGCAUCUCAUUUUGAAGAUGCUUGUGUUUUCACUUACUUCAUGGGUUCGGAAAACAGGGGUGAAGGCGUUCAAUUCCAUCCAUCGCAUGAGCAACUCUUCACUUCUAUGAUAUUUGAGAAACGGCAUAGUUACUGCACAGUAGCCUCCAAUAUCACUAUGAUUGAGAGCAUAUCCAGAAAGUCCACCACUCAGUAGGCCAACGACAGCACUCUUUAUCCCAUCAUGAGCCUGCCAGCUAACCAUUUGAUCUCCUUCCCAAAAGAGCAUACCCCAUUUGGGACUAUCCCGGAAACCGGCCCUCAUGAAGAAAACCAAAGCCUCUUCUGGGUCCUCUCUCUCCUUACCUACACGGUAUAAGGAGUAACCUGCAACCAGAAUGCUGAGAUGGGAACCUUGUAUGUUUUAAGUUCAUCCCAAAUUCUGCGUACGACUUCUGUUCCACC